GGAAGUAUGCCCGAAAGUUAG
rnacentral:tRNA from 1 species